ensembl:lncRNA
AUGCACCGUUAUCGGCGUCACGUGGCGCCCCAGCUGGACGGAUCGCGAACAAACAGGUACCGAACUUUGGUGAAGCGAAGAGGAGUCAUCAUCAUGUCCCUCCGGGUGCCGUUUGGUUCUCUGAGGACAGGAGACCUGCGGGAGAUGCUGGAAGAUGAAGACAAAAUAAAUCAGACCAUCAGGUGCCGUGAGAAGUUUCAGGCGCUGCAGAGGGCUGCAGAGAAGAUGCAAGUUUCAAAUAAAGAAAUUGCCAAAAAAGGUCUUUCUCAAAAACCUAAAUUUAGAGACACUAAGUUGCUAUUAGCAAUGAAGUACAGGCUGCUGGAAAACCUUAGAAGCAUCAUCCAGGCCAAACAAGAACACAUUGCCGAAAAAUACAGUGUCCAUGAUGCUUUGCGGAGUCUCAUGCAGAAGAUAAAACAUGGAGAGCAAGAGUGUGAUAUGCUGUUUCAGAAGUUCGCAGAGGGGAACACCACGCUGGAAGAGUUCCUCAAUUCUUUUCUCAGCUUGCGGAAACUCCAACACAUCAGGAUGACUCUGGUGAAGAGACUGCAGGGAAUUGUUGAACUUGGUUCAUUCCACAGGCUCACUGAGAUUCACCCUGGACGUCAGCAUUUUCCCGCAGAGGAAAUACAUGACGACUGCCUCCCGCUGUGCAGCCUCACCGCAGCUGUUGUCUCACCCGCCUGCUGCCGCCCUGUGUUCCGUCUGCCCUUUGGUGGCCUCGCAAACACCGUUUACCGCGUUCACCAUUUACCACUUUGUCACGAUUACAGCGAGUCCCUUCGUCCAGGAGCGCAGGGACGGGGUUCCAAACGGCCAGCGAGACCUGUCCAUCUUCAGCCCCUGAAGGUGCAUCAGAGAAGACACCAACAGGCACCACGAUGA